rnacentral:pre_miRNA from 1 species
AGUCUUCUGUAUCCGUGCUGAAAUUUCGUCACACACCAGACCACAAGGGCUGAUGAGAUAAGUUAACUGGUCG